AGGAGACGCUGGCGGCGUGCCUAACACAUGCAAGUCGAACGGAGAGGACAUGAAGUAUUUCGGUACGGAAUGCUCUCUUAGUGGCGAACGGGUGAGUAACACGUGGGCAACCUGCCCCAGACUGGGGGAUAACAUUGUGAAAACAGUGCUAAUACCGCAUGACAGGGUUCCGGGCAUCCGGGACCCUUGAAAGGAGAAAUCCGGUCAGGGAUGGGCCCGCGUCCAAUUAGCUAGUUGGCGGGGUAACGGCCCACCAAGGCGACGAUUGGUAGCCGAACUGAGAGGUUGAUCGGCCACAUUGGGACUGAGACACGGCCCAGACUCCUACGGGAGGCAGCAGUGGGGAAUAUUGGGCAAUGGGCGAAAGCCUGACCCAGCGACGCCGCGUGAAGGAUGAAGGUCUUCGGAUUGUAAACUUCUUUGAUCAGGGAAGAAAGAAAUGACGGUACCUGAAAAACAAGCCACGGCUAACUACGUG
rnacentral:rRNA from 1 species